AUGAUGGCAAGCCUCACUUAUCAAAGACUGAAAAGAGCCUAAAAAAGAUCCAGCAUCAUCAAGCAUUUAGUACGUCAUCUUCACACUGCCUCAAGUUACUUCAGUUCAGCUUGGCUAUUUAGUUCACUCUCAGGACUUUAAGAUGGAUCGCAUUGCCCUGGACUGUUCAACUCACGGUGAAUAUGAAUUUAUCAAAUUCAAGGACUAGCAGUUUCACCAUUAAUCAGUUUUGAACUUCCCUGCUUCAAAUUAUAAUGAACACUCAAGAUGAUAAAAGGCCUUGGUAUGAGAUGCGCCAGCUUGACUGACG